rnacentral:rRNA from 1 species
UACGUAGGGUGCGAGCGUUGUCCGGAAUUAUUGGGCGUAAAGAGCUCGUAGGCGGUGUGUCGCGUCGGCCGUGAAAACCUGCAGCUUAACUGUGGGCUUGCGGUCGAUACGGGCAUCACUGGAGUUCGGCAGGGGAGACUGGAAUUCCUGGUGUAGCGGUGAAAUGCGCAGAUAUCAGGAGGAACACCAAUGGCGGAAGGCAGAUCUCUGGGCCGUAACUGACGCUGAGGAGCGAAAGCAUGGGGAGCGAACAGG